rnacentral:rRNA from 1 species
UAGGGAAUCUUCCGCAAUGGACGAAAGUCUGACGGAGCAACGCCGCGUGAGUGAUGAAGGUUUUCGGAUCGUAAAGCUCUGUUGCCAGGGAAGAACGCCUUGGAGAGUAACUGCUCCAAGGGUGACGGUACCUGAGAAGAAAGCCCCGGCUAACUACGUGCCAGCAGCCGCGGUAAUACGUAGGGGGCAAGCGUUGUCCGGAAUUAUUGGGCGUAAAGCGCGCGCAGGCGGUUCAUUAAGUCUGGUGUUUAAGACUAGGGCUCAACCCUGGUUCGCACUGGAAACUGGUGAACUUGAGUGCAGAAGAGGAAAGUGGAAUUCCACGUGUAGCGGUGAAAUGCGUAGAGAUGUGGAGGAACACCAGUGGCGAAGGCGACUUUCUGGGCUGUAACUGACGCUGAGGCGCGAAAGCGUGGGGAGCAAACA